AUUGAACGCUGGCGGCAUGCUUUACACAUGCAAGUCGAACGGCAGCGCGGGCUUCGGCCUGGCGGCGAGUGGCGAACGGGUGAGUAAUGCAUCGGAACGUGCCCAGUAGUGGGGGAUAGCCCGGCGAAAGCCGGAUUAAUACCGCAUACGACCUGAGGGUGAAAGCGGGGGACCGAAAGGCCUCGCGCUAUUGGAGCGGCCGAUGUCGGAUUAGCUAGUUGGUGGGGUAAAGGCUUACCAAGGCGACGAUCCGUAGCUGGUCUGAGAGGACGACCAGCCACACUGGGAAUGAGAAAAGGCCCAAGAUCCUAAGGGAGGGAGCAGGGGGGAAUUUUGGAAAAUGGGGGCAAACCUGAUCCAGCCAAGCCGGGGGGGGGAAAAAGGCCUUCGGGUUGUAAACCGGUUUUGUUCGGGAAGAAAAUCUUUGGGCUAAUACCCCGGGGGGAUGACGGUACCGGAAGAAUAAGCACCGGCUAACUACGUG
rnacentral:rRNA from 1 species